ensembl:lncRNA
CUUAUUAAAAGUUUUUUUUUCUUGCUGGUAUUUUGGUGUAAUUCAACAAUUUUGAAGUUGAGGAGAGACCCUAUUUGUAUCUCUCUGUCUUAGUUACUUUUCUCAUUGCUGAGACAAAAUACCUAACACCUAAGGUUAAAGGGUGAAAGGUUUAUUUAGCUCACAGUUUGUAGAAGUUUCAGUCCAUAAUCGGCUUGCUCCAAAGCAGGGUAGCAGAUGGCAGAGGGGCAACAGUUCAUGGCGGACCGAAGGUUGCAGAGCAAAAAGAGAACAAACAAGCGACUUUAACAGGGACUUUCUGCUCCUUUUAUCUUAUCCAGACUACUUAGGGUGGGUAGCACUCACACCCUUAAUUCUAGCACCUUUGAGCCUAGCAUUGCACCAUGAAUCAAUUCCAGCGUCACACACUAUAGAUCCAGCCACCUCUCAAAAAGCCCCACCUCAUUGGCAUGAGGCUUUGAGGGGACAUCUAAACACAAGCCAUAACACUCUUACUGCAAAAGCCCAAAACCCUCCAUUCAGAAAUAGUUCAAACCACUGAUGCCCCUUGAGUAUCCUUGCUUGAGGGAUCUCUUUGACUACAGUGACAGAAUAUAUUUCAUAUCAGAUUCUAGUCCCAGUUUUUUAAAUCAAACUACCAUAUGCUCAGUAUAUAUUGUUCCUUAUGAUUUCCUUUCAGAAAUUCUUUGGUUAUUUGAUGAGACUUGAAAACAUGUAUUCCUAUGUAAAUCUCCCAUGUUAUUAACAACAUUGCUUUUUAUUCCCGAUCUCUUCAUUAUUUUCCUUUGGGAAUCAACAACAGGAAGUUAAUAAGAAAGAGGAUAAUCACAAACCUCUUAUGUCAAUUCAUUGAGCCAGACCUGAGGGUUAGAUGGUCAAAAGCAGGGAUGGAACUCAGGACCUUGUGCUUGCAAGGCAGGAAGCAGCACCACUGAGCUAAAUCCACGGCCCUGUCUGACUAUAAUUUUAUGAGAAUGCAACCAAGAUUGGAAGAAGUUGAGAAGGACAUAAUCAUGGAGGACACAAAGGCUAGGCUUUGAAGGACUAGUAGGAAAUUGGGAAAGCAGCAGGAUGGGAAGAGAGCAUUCUACAUAUUCUGGGGAAAGAUGUUGGAAUGAAGGCAGCAGAGGGACAAGGACAAAAAUACGACAGACCAUGCCAGAAAAUGUCUAUCACCUACUAGCAGCAUCUCAUUGAUGUUUUGACAUAGGGAAGAUGUGGAAUCUCUGGAACCAAUGAAGAGAACUACACUCUGAAAGUUCAAUGUACAGUACAUGGGUCUGUUUUUCCAGAAAAUAACAUGUAUUUUUAGGGCUUUUGUACUCCUGUAGUUUAGAAUAAAACAUGACUGUCUCCUAAGUGGAAUAAAGGGAAGUGUGUAUUCUGGAUCCUUAAGGGAAAGAUCAGCUGAAGCAAUCUGGACCCCAUCCUCAUGAGACCAGAUCUUAUGAGCAAGGGCUCUGAACCAUAUUUCUUCAAAGAUAAACUUCAAAAAAUUCUCAAUUCUUAUUUUAGUAAACAUUGAAAUUAUUUUAUCUUCUCACAAUGUAAAAUUAUUUCAAGUUUUGCUCAUUCUUUCAAAAUAUUUUGAUGAAUAGCAAUUCUAUAUUUAUGCAGGAUCUUAGUUACUUUCUUGUUGGUGGGACAAAAUACCUGACAUCCACAAUUUGAAGGAAGAAAGAUUUAUUUUGGCUUACAGUUCAAAAAGAUUUCAGCCCAUAGUCUGCUGACUCUCAGGCAGGAAGACAUGGCAGAGGUGCACAGCAAAAGAAAAGUACCUUUAUGGCAUGGCUGCAGGAUGCAGAGACAGAGAGAGAGAGGGGUGGGGAGAGAGAGAGAGAGAGAGGGAGAUCAAGGGAGGAGGAGGGAGAUAUAUCAUUCUAGGCAAUGCCCACAGUGACCCACCUCCUCAGACCAGGCUUUACCUCUCCAUUUCACAUUCAACUAUGUACCUGUUGCUGGGCUAAUAGGCUGAUUGGUAUCACACACCCACGAUCCAGUCACCUCCCCAAAGUCCUCCCUAUGAGUCCAUGAGCACAUGAGGCUUUGGGGGACAUCUAGAUAAAAACCAUUACGUGAAGAGAAGAAAAAUCAUAGAUUCUUACAGACAAUGUACGAUUAUAUCUGUCAGCACAAACUUCUUUUGUUUUAAUAGAUUUU